rnacentral:misc_RNA from 1 species
AUAAUAAUAAUGAUAAUAAUAAUACUGAUUGUAUAAAAUGAAGAAUAAUAACUUCUAUUUCUAACAUAUAAUCCUGAUGAACAUAAAAAGCAUUAUGAUUGUUUAUGUGCAUGAAACAACAAAUCAGCAGAAGCAACAUUUAGAUGAGGAUAAAAGAAACCGUCUAAAAUGGAAAGCAACCGAAACUCAGACGAUCGUCUAAAAUUGGAAAUCCAGAAAGACGACUUUAUGGAAGCCAAAGUAUUUGAGAAAGACUAAAAAGAGAAAAGAUGAAUUGGUGUUGAAAAGCAUGAAAAUAUGAAAAGCUGCAAAACGCAGACGCACCAAGACAAUAAACAACACAGAAGAUCACCCAAAAAAGGGGAAAAAAUUUAUAAACCAGAGGGGAGAAAGCCAUUUAAACAGAUGGCUUGAUGGAACAAAAAACAUA